AAUAAGUGCAGUUUUGCACUAUUCAUCUCCAACAUUUAACCAUUCGUCUUAUUUAAAAAAAAUUUAUGAUUACUAUUUAUAUUGUUAUUAGAUGAUAAAACAUGAAUAGUACUUUAUGUGUGACUAGUUUUUUAAAAAAGUUUCAUAAAAUUUUCAAAUAAGACGGAUGGUCAAACGUUGGACACAAAUUUCCACGGCUGCACUUAUU
rfam:Oryza glumipatula chromosome 2, whole genome shotgun sequence.